AAGUCGUAACAAGGUAUCCGUAGGUGAACCUGCGGAUGGAUCAUUAUAGGAUGUUGGGUGAUUGUGAGUGGUUUUAUUAUUAGUAGUUUGAGCGGUGUUGGUUGGGGUGCGAAGCAGGAUUGCCAAGCAAGACAGCCAACAUCGCCUCACGUUAAACUCUAUAAAUCUAACAAUUGCAUACAAAAAAAACAACUUUUAGCAACGGAUCUCUGGGCUCUC
rnacentral:misc_RNA from 1 species